GUNCAAAGGNNGCAUAAUCANUUGUUCCUUAAUUAGGGACUUGUAUGAAUGGCCCCACGAGGGUUUAACUGUCUCUUACUUUUAAUCAGUGAAAUUGACCUUCCCGUGAAGAGGCGGGAAUACACAAAUAAGACGAGGAGACCCUAUGGAGCUUAAAUUAACGUGCCCAACAAAAUNNUACUCUUAAUCCAACAGGAAAUAAAAAUAUUUUAACUGGGCAACAAAUUUUGGUUGGGGUGACCUCGGAGUAUAACAAAACCUCCGAGCGAUAUUGACCAAGACCUACCCGUCAAAGUAAUAUAAUUUAUUGAUCCAAUCAUAUUGAUCAACGAAAUAAGUUACCCUAGGGAUAACAGNGCAAUCCUAUUUAAGAGUUCAUAUCGACAAUAGGGUUUACGACCUCGAUGUUGGNNCAGGACNNNNNNNAUGGUGCAGCAG
rnacentral:rRNA from 1 species